GACGAACGCUGGCGGCGUGCCUAACACAUGCAAGUCGAACGGAGUAUUACGCUGAAAUGAUAUUAGCUUGCUAAAGGAUUUUCUUGUAAUACUUAGUGGCGGACGGGUGAGUAACGCGUGAGCAACCUGCCUUUCAGAGGGGGACAACAGUUGGAAACGACUGCUAAUACCGCAUAACAUGUGACUGUGGCAUCACAGACACAUCAAAGCUUUAGCGCUGAAAGAUGGGCUCGCGUUGGAUUAGAGAGUUGGUGAGGUAACGGCUCACCAAGUCGACGGUCCAUAGCCGGACUGAGAGAUUGAACGGCCACAUUGGGACUGAGACACGGCCCAGACUCCUACGGGAGGCAGCAGUGGGGGAUAUUGCACAAUGGAGGAAACUCUGAUGCAGCAACGCCGCGUGAGGGAAGAAGGUCUUCGGAUUGUAAACCUUUGUCUUUGGUGACGAACAAGUGACGGUAGCCAAGGAGGAAGCUCCAGCUAACUACGUGCCAGCCGCCGCGGUAAAAC
rnacentral:rRNA from 1 species